GUGCAAUGUGGGGAUUUCAUGAGCCGCUCUCCAUCGGUACUUUCCAAGGGGAUGCCUUUGAACAGGAUCACCAUGACUAGAUCCAGACGCCAGACUUUGUCUGCCUGUCGCAGGCAGUCGAUUCUCCUAAUCUUACCCUUCUGGUCGGGAUUGGAUAAGACACAGCACGGGUGCUUCUUGCCAGUCACGGUGAGCACAAAGUCCUCUCGAUACUCCUGGCGAAUAUCUUUGCGCAGUUUGGCAAGGAGCCUGGAUGCCCACUUCUGUUUUUUAAUUCCUUUAUUCCCUUGGGCCUAAAAAAAAAAAAAAAAAAAAUCUUAAAAAAGAGAAAUAAAUUUGAACAAAACUAAACUACAAGCCCGCAGUUCCCCGCCGAAAGCGAGGUGGGGGAGGAGGGGGCGGGAACGGUCGAGGCACUGAGAGUGGGGGAUGAGAAACGAACUCCGUCCCCUGCACAGUCAGUGCCUUCGGGGGCUCCACCACCGCGCGCUCCCACCCUCAAGGUUUGGACUCCUAGGGGAGGGAGAGGACGGGAGGGAGAGGAGGAUAGGUGGAGGGGGAAGAGGGACUCCUUUUCUCCUCCUGCCAGCGCCAGCUGGGGCAAACUUGAGCUGGCAAAGCGCGAGAAAACUUUUCUUUGGAAAGUUUAGGUAGCGCAGUUAGUGGCGGAGGCUCAGGGCAAGCUAACAGUGCUGGGGCGGGUGUGGAGGGAGUGAGCUGGGUGCGAUUGGGAGAGGGGAGAAGGGAGAAGGGAAGGAGUGGCCAGCUCCCUAGGCGGUUGAAGAUCCAAGUCUCUUCGGUCAGGUCCGCCCAAGGUCCCAGAGGCACUGGGGGGUCGGGUGACUGUGCGGAGUGUAAAAGACAUUUCCUUAGGAAACAGACAAGGCAGGGCCAGGAGUUCCGCGGUUUUUUUUCCGUGCAGAAAUCACUACCCGGCGACGGCUCAGGGCGGUAGAGGGCAAGUCUUAUCUGCCAAGGCGGGAUUAGAUUCUCUCGCCGAGGGUCCCAGUAUCCCGCCGCCCAGCAAGGGCCGAGCGCGCGCGCGCGCCAGGGAGCUUUGGAGCGACGCGCGUAGUUUCGCGUCGCACGCGGUGUCUGGUCUCCGCGCACCACGUGCGCUCGCGGUCCUUGGCGGGGACGUUGGUGCUAGCGAUCCGACAGAGCACCCAGGACUAGGUUUUUGUGAUGCCCUAACCUGGGCAUUUAUGCUGGGGGCGGAACGAAGUCGCCCAACCCAAGUUCUCCCUGCACCCUGGGAAGGAAAUGUGGUGCGCCCUCUGGGGCGUGAGGCCGCCGCGGCCCAUUCUACACACCUACUGGCAUUCCGCUUUUCCUUACUGUGCGCCAGGGGAAGGCAUAAUUCAAUUAUAUCAUACAACUGCAGCGCACCCUUUUCCUUUUUUGCUUUGAGGGGAAUUUUCCAAUUCCCAAAUAAAUACCUAUGGCUCUAAAGCCGAGUUGGGUUCUGUAGUAACUACCGGGGGUGAAAAAAAAAAAAGACCCCA
rnacentral:lncRNA from 1 species